rnacentral:lncRNA from 1 species
AUGGCUGCACAGCUCCAGCCAUCACGCCCACAUACAAUUGCACCACUUUGUAGGAAGCAGAGGGCUGCUGAUGUGACAAGAGCUCAGUCUCAUGUGUACUGUUUCCUUUCCUUCUCCUCUUUCUUUUGCUUGGAGGAAACCCUUUACCCAAACUGCCGCAGCGGACUUGCUCUCACUGCCCUCCAUCAGCACUCGGCCCCUUGCUCACUCACCGAUGUGGAGGUAAAGCGUACAUCUAGCACUCUGGCUAGCAAGGGAGACACGAGCUUGCGCAGGAGGCGAGAGGACGUAACCCCUGGAAGGUUCCCUCUCUCAUUUUUCACAUUUGAAAGCAAUGGAGAGGUCCGAGAGAAUGGCUCGCCCCUGCUGUGCGAAGGCGCGGCUCGUGUCCUCCACGCUGACCUGCUCUUCGGGGCUCCGGAGCUCUGCUUUGCACAGACUACUGGCAUCUGCUCGCCUUUUUAAGAAAGCCCUAGACUUCGACCGAGUAAUACAUUUUCAUGGCUGGCCUAUAUAUGUCAGCCAUGAACAAAAGCCUGGGAAAUCCUUUUAAUAAGAGGGAAAAAUCAAAUGUGCGCUGUUGUCACACUGACAAUCGUGUUUCGGUGCAGCGGAGCUCUUCCCGUGCAGAAAGGGAGCAAGAGGCGCCUCCGCGGCCGAGCCUCCCGUCCUCUCCCGGCGAGCGGCUCUGCGGCUCUGCGGCCCAAAUCUCGCUCUGUCGCCUGCCUCUCUUCUAGUCAUUUUACCAGGCGCUCGCCCAGGUGGGAAGGGCGGAGGUCUGUGGAGGUGCGGGCCCGGGCCCCGAACGCGUGCAGCUGGGCGCGCCGGGAGGAGGGACCCCGCCGCCCCUGGGGAGCCUGCCCCUCGCGCGGCCGGGACGACCAGCGCCCCGGGAGGGCGCCGGGCAGGCGGGAGAGCCGCCCGCCCGUCCGCUCAGCGUGGGGAGGGCGCGGGCGGGGGUGCAGGACAGGAAGGCCCGCGUGAGGCCGGGGCCCCGCGGCUGACGUCCUCGGCGGAGUGAAUUUGUCAGAGGCCUCAGGCUGUCUGCGUAGAUCUCACGCAAAGGCCGGCUCUGUGCUCCUGCUCGCUCGGUCGCCUCCUCCCACUCACCCCGAGCCUCACGGCUCGGAGGUCCCACGCGCCCACACCCCUGCACCCGAGCGUGCACCCAGCGCUCGCUCACUCGUGCUUCUUCUCGUGGUCCCGCACUCCCUGCCCUCUCCGCUCUCCGCGUUACUGCAGGGGUGGGAGGAAGAACUGGAGCAGCCCCCACUCC